GCUGUAGUCUAGGGCCUUACUACUUUGCUGUUGUUGCUGUGCUUUCUAUUUCAUUGCUGUACUGCUCACUUUUUUGGGGUGCACUUAGUAUGGUAUUGUCUUUUUGUAAAUAACACUUCUCAAGAUCAACUUGUCUAGGAAAGCCUUAUGUUACAAAUCUUAAUUGGGGUUAGAGUUUGGGGGCCCCUGUUUCUUGCUUAUUAGGACAUUAAUAUCCUCAUGAAGAGAGGAGCGUACAGCACUGCUGCUUGCCUUGGCUUUUUCUGGAAUGGCACUGAAGUAUGAAGUAUAAAAGCACUGAAAUAUUCAAGGUACAAGCCGUUUUGUACUAGGCAUGUUCUUCAUUCAAGAUGAUACAAAAAUGUACAAGCAGGCGUAAAGAAAUACGACUGUUAGCAUUAGGCUGUACACAAAAUGUUCCAGUUCCUCUUGAGACCUCCUUGUUCCAUAACUGAUGUGAUGGGGGCAGUGGGCCGACUUCCUCAUUUUCCAGUGCUGAUCUAUAUCAAGUGAUCAACUAGAGCAACUGUUGGCACCUUGUCCCAGAACCUCUGCUAAACACAAUCACCUCUAGCAAAGAUACGGAUGACUAAAUAAUUCAGUCCAAUGGAACCAGGACUAUUACACUUUGAAAUUACAGCUGCUUGGAGUAGGAAAAGAGUGUCUUGUCCUCUGCUCCUGGUGAUGAGGAGAAUCUCUCUCUGAAGGAUGGCAUUUGAAAAACAAACAAGAGGGCUGGAUGGAUACUCUGGGAGUUUUACAGCUCCACUUUUGAAAAAUACUGUAGAACUUCUUUGUACAGCUGCACAGUGUAGAAUUGUCUAAGCUCCAUUACAUCAUGGUGUAUUGCAUUGUGAAAUGAAGUGAUUGCAAUGUGAUUGGAACAGCUGAUGUAUUUCAAAACACUUGACAGAAGGGAAAGUGUAAUGGAAAAUCAAAUGGAUAUACAUGGAUAGCAGAAGUGAUCCAAACAAAUUUUGAACAAAAUUAUCUUUGCUAUCCCUUUUGUAAAAACAACUUUGUGUUAGCAGAUUGAUUUGUAUUUAUGAUGGUAUAGAUCUUCUCGUGUUCAAUUUCCUUAUACGAAUCUUACAGAAAACAAUAGUUGGAUACUGCAGUAUAAAAUAAUAUAAAUAAAGAAUUUAUAUAUUAAAUUUAGAUAAUAUUUAGUCAUGAGUUUGAAGCCCUUAUUUGCUAUUUCUUUUCAUUUAGUUGAUCAUAUCUAUUUCUAAUCAAGUGGGACAAUAAAGUUAACAUGAAUGGAAGUUUUCCAGCCUCAAUUUCAAUCUAUAAUCUUAACUCUUAUCCUCCAUAUCAUUUGGGCCAAAUGCAACAACUUACACAAUGCCUUGGAUCUCUUCCAAUCUUAAUGCAUGCAAUACAGGUAUGGCAUUUAUUUUCAUGGGUAGUGUCCUCGGGAAUAUAGACAGGCUAGAAAUUUCAGUGCUAAUAUUUUUGAGUCUGCUAGGGAUCUCUGAAACUUCUGUGCAAGAGAAUCUGCUGAUAUGUUGAUGCAACUUAUCACAAAUGUCUAGAGGUAGGUUAAGGAAAAUCACUCACUGUUAGCCAAUAAAACAUGCUGGAGUUUCUUUCAACAGUCAAUGUUACUAACUUUAAAGUUAAUUCUGUCUCCUCUCUGAUUGAACAUGUACCUGAGGCCACUGGGAGAGUUUUAAUGAUCGAAAUGUAAAAAAGGAGUAAGGUGACCAGUCAGUGAGUUGACAGCUGGAGAAUGUACUUGGUAAAUCAACAUUACAGAUAUCUGUAUUUUCUAUCCUAGCGUCUUUAAUAACUGCUGAAGCUAUGCAUAGAUGCAUGAAUGAAUGUAGCAGGGGAAAAGUAAGUGAUAAAGAAAGGCUACUAUAUAUUUUUCAAGCAAGUCCUCCAAAAGUAACUACUCAACCUACUCAAAAUAUAGAUGAUGAAUUUGUCUGUGGGUUUAUUUUUUUUUCAAAUUCAUUAAUGUUGCAGCUAAGUAAUCACCUCUGAAUUGUCUUCUUUCAUGACAUGCCACAAAGAUAAAACUAUACUGAUCUCCAAAUCAUACUGACGAGAUUUUGUUAGUGGAAUUGUGGUUACAUUUCACACUAAGAGUGAACUCAAUCUUCUGAAUAUUAUCACAAUCCUUUGCUUACUCUCCCUAUGGCUUAGA
ensembl:lncRNA